AACCUCUUUCUUUUACUGUAACUGCUUUCCAUGUAUAAAGUUCACAAUCAUGUUGCUUGUCACAUAGUUACUAUUAUGAUUAAUUUAAAAUCUUGAAUGAACUUUUACUUUCCAUAAUCCCCGCUGCUGUCUUAUGAAAUAUUUAUGGGAAAGGGAACAGUUAAACAUAUGCAAUGAUUAGGUCCAAGGCACUGCCUUACAGUAUUAUUUUUUCAACAUGGACUUUCAGGUUGAUUGUUUGGGUCCAUGAAUUGAUUAGACAAAAAAGAUAGCUCUUGGCCUAAAGUAGUCCACGUUCUUGUUUUAAAUGAGGAAUUAUUAUUGGAUUGAAGGCAUGAAGGGUCAUCUUUUUCUUUUAGGUUGUGUAACUUGAAAUGUGCUAAAUCAUUAUUUGAUUGAUUGAAUAGAUAUCAGCUUGUAAUUUUGAUAUUUUUGUUACAGUGGUGAGUUUGGUUUAAAUUCUAGUUAUAUGGAAUAUUAAUUAGAAUGUAAUUGAAAUAUGGAAAAUUUUUGAAUUAAAAUAACAACCUAAAUCCAUGUCAAUUGAAUGUCCAAUUCAAAUAAAGUGUUUUUGUGAUUCCUAUCUGACGGGUGCUAAUACAAAAUCCAUUGCUACAGCAUUAGAGAUAGAAGAAGAGUUAAUUUAAUUAUGCAUGAAAUGCAUAAAUUAUGAUUAUGUUCAACAUAGCAAAUAAUUAGGAUCUAGGAAUUGGAUGAGAAUAAAAUUGGCUUGAACUAAAUGCAAUAUAAGGGACAUUGAAGAUUUCACAGCCUUCCUGGCCCCUUGAUCCUAUUGGCUCCUUGGUCUGCAUAAGGAUUCCCAUGAUUAAUUAUGUAAGACUCUUGAUUGAAAGAGGCUGAGCUAAUUCAAGUAGCCUUCUCCUUGGUUUACAUUAGUUCCUUGCCGAUGUUUAUCAGUUUUGCUCUAGACCUUGCACAUAGAGGUUCAAGUCCGAAUAGCUUGCCAACUGAAAUGGCAUGGGUCAUUUCAGCCUAGGCAAAGUGAGCCUGUAGUGGGCAACGUAGGCCCAAAUAGGAGCCUUAUACUGGGCCAAUUUAAUUUGUUGUGCCUUUGAGCUGGAGGCAGGUGGCAUGCAUACUCCUGCAAUUGUUGCAUGUGCUUAUUUAUUCUUUCUUUCUGGGAGAGAGUUGCAGUUAUGUGCAUGUUCUGGGUGAUGGUAGCGCUCUUUUACUUAAUUGGGAACCAAAUAGCUUACAACAUUAAGUGAUUUGCUUAUCCAUGCUUUUGUCACAAUUUAGAAAUGACAUAUUAUGCUAUGUCUUCGGUUGGCCUUUUUCUUUUGAAAUAAAAAGUAUAAACAGUAUAUUAAUUCUAUAGCACCAAGAGGGUGUAUCCCAUGUACAAAAGAUAUUCACAAAUCAGUAAGAUUAUCUAUAACAUGUCCAAUAUUCUUCAUCGUAUACAUGUCAUAUCCUAAAAAAAUAGAGGCAAAAUAAAGAAGUUGUCUAUCCCUAAUCUUUGACAUAUUAUUCUCCACCCUAUCAAAAGCUUUUCUAUUUCUCUCUUUUUAUACCACCUAAAAGACAGUUAAAAGA
rnacentral:lncRNA from 1 species